ACAGCCGGUCACUCUUCUUGCACAUAUAACCGUGAAAAAAGAUACUUUUCGCAUUCAACCCUCUGUAUACCGCAACAACAACGGCUACUGUACAGUAUAUAAGUCUACAAUCCUAGAUAUAGAAUAUUUCUCUUUUCUAUCAUUGUCAACAAUUGAUAUUAAUCGAUAAUAUAUAUAUUUAUUGGUUGAUAUAUAGAGGAUUAAACGGAAACAAGAAUCGGCAUGCCAACAUUCGUCGCGCUCUAUUAAAAAAAACCACGGCAACGUUGCAACGAUUCCGCCGAUAAUGGCACACGUGCGCGUUCUACGUUAUAAUUAUCGCGAUUGCACGUUCUAUUGGUUUGAAAAAACGUUCGACGCGCAUAAACCGGAGACGGAUGAAUUCAAUAACGAAUUACCGAUAACCCUGCCACUAAAUGGGAAGAAAUUCAAUCAACGAGAUUACUGGCAACAGGUUCUUUCGGAAUGUUUUGAUCAAAAUAUAUCUAGAUACGAUCGAAUAUCGGCCUUUGUUAUUACGUUCACGAGCGUAAUAAGUUCAAGAACGUUACAACAACAAGUUGUUAUGUGUUAAAUCUAAGUUUGAUGUCGCAUUUGUAUGAUGAACGAAUGUAAAAAGUUUUCCGAAGGAAAAGAUCUUUUUUGAGCGGAAGUUAAGAAAUUUAUUUAAUUUCAAUAUGAUGACAACAGCUCAAUUUUACCGGUUCUACGUUCGAAUAAUCCAAUCACAGUCAGAAGGGACAUGUUAAUCCAGAAAAAGUCGAACGCAAAUAUUAAAACUGUAUAGAAUAUAGCAACCGAUAUCUAGAUAAUAUGCAUAAAAAUUAGAAGAAUUUACUAUGCUACAUCAAUUUAAUUAAAUGAUAUAUAUACGAUAAGCAUAAAUAUUGAUUUGAAAAAUAUUUAUUAAUUUUCACGUGACGAAGAAAUCAUCAUUUUUAGGAACGAAUAUAUACUUUAUCCGGCGAGAAAUAUGUUUCAACUUUGCUCACGAUACGCAAGCCCAAUAGAAACGACAAAGCUAAAGCGCAGAAGUUGGCAGCAAAAAGGCAAUUAAACUUGAUUCAUUGAAUAAAAGAAGGAUGAUGUUUGCAAAAAAAAUGCAGCGCGAUGAAAAUCGAUUUCGAGAAAAUAGAAUAAAUAAGAAUAUAUAGAAAUAAGAAUAUAUCGAAAGAGCGGACCAAUGACUUGGCCUUUCGAAAGGAAAGACACUUGUUUUAAACCGCUUGAGACAUGAUAAAAAUUUCAAAAGGGAAACAAAUGAAAGUGACCUCUCGACAUUCGGUCGCUGGGAAAGGAAGAGUCGGGGGGCGGUAGUUAAACAGAAAGAAGGAGAGAUUCAGAAUGAGUUUCUGUCUAUGAGUACGGGUCGAGUGGCACGGCACUGCUUAUUGAUCUCACUACCAAUGGUACGUAGUAUACAUAUACACCCGGUGCGCACGGGACAUCACUGCACGGCAAUACGUAAUAUAUCCACUAUCACUAUGAACUGCCUACUUGCCAUCACCACGAGUAACAGCUAUAUACGUCGA